UACGGAGGGGGCUAGCGUUGUUCGGAAUUACUGGGCGUAAAGCGCACGUAGGCGGCUUUGUAAGUUAGAGGUGAAAGCCCGGAGCUCAACUCCGGAAUUGCCUUUAAGACUGCAUCGCUUGAAUCAUGGAGAGGUGAGUGGAAUUCCGAGUGUAGAGGUGAAAUUCGUAGAUAUUCGGAAGAACACCAGUGGCGAAGGCGACUCACUGGACAUGUAUUGACGCUGAGGUGCGAAAAGCG
rnacentral:rRNA from 1 species